rnacentral:rRNA from 1 species
UACGUAGGUGGCGAGCGUUGUCCGGAUUUACUGGGCGUAAAGGGAGCGUAGGCGGGCUUUUAAGUGGGAUGUGAAAUACUCGGGCUCAACUUGAGUGCUGCAUUUCAAACUGGAAGUCUAGAGUGCAGGAGAGGAGAAUGGAAUUCCUAGUGUAGCGGUGAAAUGCGUAGAGAUUAGGAAGAACACCAGUGGCGAAGGCGAUUCUCUGGACUGUAACUGACGCUGAGGCUCGAAAGCGUGGGGAGCAAACAGG